rnacentral:rRNA from 1 species
CAGUAGCCACGGGAAUACGAGGGGGGCAAGUGUUGUUCGGAAUUAUUGGGCGUAAAGGGUGCGUAGGCGGUUUGGCAAGUUUGGUGUGAAAUCUUCGGGCUCAACUCGAAGUCUGCAUCGAAAACUGCCGGGCUUGAGUAUGGGAGAGGUGAGUGGAAUUUCCGGUGUAGCGGUGAAAUGCGUAGAUAUCGGAAGGAACACCUGUGGCGAAAGCGGCUCACUGGACCAUAACUGACGCUGAUGCACGAAAGCUAGGGGAGCAAACAGGAUUAGAUACCCCGGUAGUCCCUGUCUCUUAUAA